rnacentral:rRNA from 1 species
GCGCUGGCGGCGUGCUUACACAUGCAAGUCGAGCGAGAAGUUUAGAAAUGGAUCUUCGGAGAAAUAGAUAAAUGGACAGCGGCGGACGGGCGAGUAACGCGUAAAUAACCUACCAUGCACACAAGGAUAGCCAUCGGAAACGGUGAAUAAUACUUGAUGAGGCUACAGUUUCGCAUGAAGCAGUAGUUAAAGAAUUUUGGUGUAUGAUGGAUUUGCGUUUGAUUAGCUAGUUGGUAAGGUAAUGGCUUACCAAGGCGAUGAUCAAUAGCCGGCCUGAGAGGGUGAACGGCCACACUGGAACUGAGACACUGCCCAGACUCCUACGGGAGGCUGCAGUCGAGAAUCAUCCGCAAUGGGCGAAAGCCUGACGGUGCGACGUCGCGUGGGGGAUGAAGGCCUUCGGGUUGUAAACUCCUUUCACCCGGGAAGAAAAAGCACUCCAUGAAUAAGGGAGUGAACUGACGGUACCGGGAGAAGAAGCUCCGGCUAACUCCGUGCCAGCAGCCGCGGUAAUACGGAGGGAGCAAGCGUUGUUCGGAUUUACUGGGCGUAAAGGGCAUGUAGGUGUCCUGAUAAGCUCUGGGUGAAAUCUCCGCUCUCAAGGCGGAAAGGUCCCAGAGAACUGUCAGGAUUGAGGUCAGGAGAAGAGAGCGGAAUUCUCGGUGUAGCGGUGAAAUGCGUA